rnacentral:rRNA from 1 species
UCAUGACAGACGCUUCGGUUGAAGUCACGAGUGGAAAGCGGCGGACGGGUGAGUAACGCGUAGGCAACCUGCCCUUUGCAGAGGGAUAGCCUCGGGAAACCGGGAUUAAAACCUCAUAAUACCGCAGUGAGACAUCUCACGGCGGUCAAAGAUUUAUCGGCAAAGGAUGGGCCUGCGUCUGAUUAGUUAGUUGGUGGGGUAACGGCCUACCAAGGCGACGAUCAGUAGCCGACCUGAGAGGGUGAUCGGCCACAUUGGAACUGAGACACGGUCCAAACUCC